UAAUGAAAAGGGCAAACUUGUCGAAAGGCAAGGACGCAAAGCCACGGGUCUAAAGUAUCGUUUUACUAAGACAGCCGGUUGCCGUA
rnacentral:ncRNA from 1 species